CGCCAGACUCCUACGGGAGGCAGCAGUGGGGAAUAUUGCACAAUGGGGGAAACCCUGAUGCAGCGACGCCGCGUGAGCGAGGAAGUACCUCGGUAUGUAAAGCUCUGUCAGCAGGGAAGAAAAUGACAGUACCUGACCAAGAAGCCCCGGCUAACUACGUGCCAGCAGCCGCGGUAAUACGUAGGGGGCAAGCGUUAUCCGGAUUCACUGGGCGUAAAGGGAGCGCAGGCGGCACGGCAAGUCUGAUGUGAAAACCCGGGGCUCAACCCCGGGACUGCAUUGGAAACUGCCGGGCUGGAGUGCAGGAGGGGCAGGCGGAAUUCCUGGUGUAGCGGUGAAAUGCGUAGAUAUCAGGAGGAACACCGGUGGCGAAGGCGGCCUGCUGGACUGCGACUGACGUUGAGGCCCGAAAGCGUGGGGAGCAAACAGGAUUAGAUACCCGAGUA
rnacentral:rRNA from 1 species